AAUACGAAGGGGGCUAGCGUUGCUCGGAAUUACUGGGCGUAAAGGGCGCGUAGGCGGCGCAGUUAGUCAGGCGUGAAAUUCCUGGGCUCAACCUGGGGACUGCGCUUGAUACGGCUGUGCUAGAGGAUGGAAGAGGCUCGCGGAAUUCCCAGUGUAGAGGUGAAAUUCGUAGAUAUUGGGAAGAACACCGGUGGCGAAGGCGGCGAGCUGGUCCAUUACUGACGCUGAGGCGCGACAGCGUGGGGAGCAAACAG
rnacentral:rRNA from 1 species